UAACGGCGAGUGAAGCGGCAACAGCUCAAAUUUGAAAUCUGGCGUCUUUGGCGUCCGAGUUGUAAUUUGCAGAGGGCGCUUUGGCAUUGGCAGCGGUCCAAGUUCCUUGGAACAGGACGUCACAGAGGGUGAGAAUCCCGUACGUGGUCGCUAGCCUUUACCGUGUAAAGCCCCUUCGACGAGUCGAGUUGUUUGGGAAUGCAGCUCUAAAUGGGAGGUAAAUUUCUUCUAAAGCUAAAUACUGGCCAGAGACCGAUAGCGCACAAGUAGAGUGAUCGAAAGAUGAAAAGCACUUUGGAAAGAGAGUUAAAAAGCACGUGAAAUUGUUGAAAGGGAAGCGCUUGCAGCCAGACUUGCCUGUAGUUGCUCAUCCGGGUUUUUACCCGGUGCACUCUUCUACGGGCAGGCCAGCAUCAGUUUGGGCGGUUGGAUAAAGGUCUCUGUCAUGUACCUCCUCUCGGGGAGAUCUUAUAGGGGAGACGACAUGCAACCAGCCUGGACUGAGGUCCGCGCAUCUGCUAGGAUGCUGGCGUAAUGGCUGUAAGCGGCCCGUCUUGAAACACGGACCAAGGAGUCUAACAUCUAUGCGAGUGUUUGGGUGUCAAGCCCGAACGCGUAAUGAAAGUGAACGGAGGUGGGAACCUUUCGGGGUGCACCAUCGACCGAUCCUGAUGUCUUCGGAUGGAUUUGAGUAAGAGCAUAGCUGUUGGGACCCGAAAGAUGGUGAACUAUGCUUGAAUAGGGUGAAGCCAGAGGAAACUCUGGUGGAGGCUCGCAGCGGUUCUGACGUGCAAAUCGAUCGUCAAAUUUGGGCAUAGGGGCGAAAGACUAAUCGAACUAUCUAGUAGCUGGUUCCUGCCGAAGUUUCCCUCAGGAUAGCAGUAACGUUUUCAGUUUUAUGAGGUAAAGCGAAUGAUUAGAGGCCUGGGGGUUGAAACAACCUU
rnacentral:rRNA from 1 species